rnacentral:ncRNA from 1 species
AUUACUUUCGCCGCCGAAGGUAGCAGCAUUCGCUGCUUUAAUAGGGAAUCCGGUGUAAGUCCGGAACAGUCUCCGCUGCUGUAAGUUCUUUGGUGAAUGGUGAAGGGUCAAUGGUGAAAGAGCUGCUCAAUUUUUGAGUUUCGCUAUUAAUUUCGAAAUCCGCAAAGCCGGGUGCUAUUGACCAUUGACGAUUGACCAUUCACCGCUGUUGCAACUCCAUACCACUGACCCGGCAUCCGGGACGGGAAGGUCGCCAACAGGGAACAAGUCAGAAGACCUGCCUUACAAUACCAUUUACU